rnacentral:misc_RNA from 1 species
GAUGAAGAACGUAGUAAAAUGCGAUAAGUAAUGUGAAUUGCAGAAUUCAGUGAAUCAUCGAAUCUUUGAACGCACAUUGCGCCCGCUGGUAUUCCGGCGGGCAUGCCUGUUCGAGCGUCAUUUCAACCCUCAAGCCCCCGGGUUUGGUGUUGGGGAUCGGUUCUGCCCUUCUGGGCGGUGCCGCCCCCGAAAUACAUUGGCGGUCUCGCUGCAGCCUCCAUUGCGUAGUAGCUAACACCUCGCAACUGGAACGCGGCGCGGCCAUGCCGUAAAACCCCAACUUCUGAAUGUUGACCUCGGAUCAGGUAGGAAUACCCGCUGAACUUAAGCAUAUCAAUAAGCGGAGGA